CUUCAGCUAGCAUUCACUAGCAUGCCUUCAGCUCCUCCACCAGCCUGACAUCUCCCAGGAGAUUGGGUCACGGUCCAUUGGCUACCUCCAACGUGCCUGGAAGUGUGGCAGCUCUUGACAUGAUUCAGGAAUUAAGCCCCAAGUUUGCCAGGGUAGAUUUUGGGAACAGAGACAGCAGCCUACACUUCACCACCAUCUUGAGAGCUACAGAUCAAACUCCAUCCAGUGACUGCUCGACAUCAUGGCCCCAAACCCAGGAAAGCAUGAAGUCUUGAUGAGGAGCUGAAAACACCAGCUGAGCAUCCUCACUGUGUAUUAUGGACUCUCUAACCUGUGGUCAUGUGCACCAUUCAUUUGCAUCGGAAUUUUGGUCUUAGGCCUAUUUUUGUGCUUAGGUAUCUAUCACCUUACUGUCUUGACCUCUCUGUUGCUAGAAGGGUGGAUUUGCUAACCAAACACAGUCUCAGGUCCUUUUGACUUAAGCAAAAGUGAACAGAAUUAUAACUGCUCGUUUCAUACACUCCCUUUUGGAUAAUAGUGACAGGAAGGCUAGGCCUGGAACUUGCACUGUGCAACACUUGUUUCCUGUGUGCUGACAUCUGACACACACACUAUAAGGGAAGGGCCAGAACGUUUAUCCCGUUAGAAGAGGCAGGUCUCUGUGUCUUGAGUGUGCCAGAGGGUAUUUCAGGAAAGGACUGG
ensembl:lncRNA